ACAGCAGUCGGGAAAAGAUGAAUAGCUUUCGUUUGGUAUAUACAAGAGCGUGCAAGUUAAACAAGUUCAGCAAGAAAACAGUAAUUUGGCUUACUGUGACAUUCCUUGUCCAGCAAGGACAUCUGAGUAAGUCCCCAGCCGGCAGCUAAAGAGCCCAGUUUAAGACGUCACAGCUUGGGUGAAUUGCACCCCUAAAGACAGCAGCUGCCUUGGUUGCAGAAUUCCUACCCUUACUUGGGCUCAGUAAGAGGUGAAACAGCUAAGACUAAAGAGAAGAAGGAUGUAGCUAAUGCUUUUCUCUCAGUGUGUUCCCUGCAGAAGCGCUGAGCGUCAGGUUACCGUAGCCAGCCAGAUUUGGAAUGUCCAAUUAUGUUUUUUCUCCUCAUCGCAGAGGGUCCCCACACAGCACAGACGUUCUGAGGGCGUGCGAGCGUCCUCCGAUCUCACAAGCCUAAAGCCAGAAUUGCUUUUACUCUGAAUGUACUCUGUGUCUGGCCAGUAGGGUUUGCUGUUGUGCGAUGAGGAGAAAGAGUCCCUGCCGGUUUCCCAUCCCCGACCCCGGGAGUGUCAGAGCCAAUGUGACGCCCCGUUCGGAGUCCCCAGCAAAGUUCGGCCUCUUUACAAAGCCCAGACGCUAACCGGCGUCGUCCAAGCUGUAUGACUCAUCCUGCGCUCCCUGCAGCAGUGCUUUAACUGGAUGAGCCACUCGGGGACCCCUCAUACUUGCCUACUUCUACCAUAGUUUUAUUUGUCUUCAUUGAACAUUGCCAUGCUAUAACAAGUACCAUGGUAUACUACAGUUUAUUUUUAUUCUAAGCAGAGGGUGUCCGGUCGUAGCAUGAUAUCUUGGGUACAUUGUGAUGUUCUCGAUGAAUGUGUGCUGAAAUUAUUACACUGGACUUUUCUAAAUUGGUUUGUAAAUCUCAUCCAAUUUAUAAUUUGAACCUUUUAAUGAUAUUCACAGUUAUAUGUAUAGGUUUUCUAAAAAUGCAGUGGAAAAUCAAUGUUUAAAUUGUAUAAUAAUGCGAAUAAUAAAAACAAAAAAAUCAAU